rnacentral:rRNA from 18 species
UGGUCCCACCUGACCCCAUGCCGAACUCAGAAGUGAAACGCCGUAGCGCCGAUGGUAGUGUGGGGUCUCCCCAUGUGAGAGUAGGGAACUGCCAGAC